rnacentral:lncRNA from 1 species
GGAUGUUUCUCCAAGGGAGCAAUUGAAGGUCACUGAAGGUCCUUUCACAGCGGAGGUAGGUGUUGGUUAAGAGGAGGUGGAACAAAAUCCAUCUGUGCUCCACCUUUCCUUCAACAAAGUCCUUUCUUUUCAGAUAACCCCACUCAGUCAGGAGAUCCAAGGAACAUCAGAAAUUGCUGUUAUUGGUGAUCAGGCAAUGGAGUCCUUUAUCAGACCUUCCAAAUUUCCCAAAAGAUGUGAGGGACAGGAAGAAUCUGAACAAAAGUUCUCAGCAUCUUCUGUAUGCCUCAGUGACACUGCCGAACUAGGAUCAACAACACCUAUGACUGAUAGCAUCCAACAGACACCCUUGAAGUCACCAACUAUGACUGGCGGACUCUAUCAAAGAAAAUAUGAAGAAUCUGCUUUAAUGGAAAUUGCAAAGGAAGACAUAAUAGAAGAGUUGACAGAUGCAGUUUGUAGUCAGUAUUGUAGUCAAUUGAAGCCAGAUGAACAUUUGGCAGAAAGACGAGAACUUGGGCAAAUGGAAAAGGCAGGAAAAACAGGGAUGAGUCAGGAAGCAGAACAAGACAGAAAUAUAUUAGCUGAGGGGAUUGAGCAAGGAGCACCAAAUUGGGCAGCAUCUGUAGAACAGAAAAGAGGACCUGAAGGGGCAGAGUGGACUGGGGAAAUUGUUCAUGAUAGUUUGGAAGAGAGAGCUGAGAUUAUGAAUAAUCAACAAUUAGAGUUUGAGAAAGAACAGGAAGAAGGAAAGGUGGGUGAGAAAGAACAGGAAGNNNNNNNNNNAGGUGGGUGAGAAAGAACAGGAAGAAGGAAAGGUGGGUGAGAAAGAAUGGAGAGAGAUAAAUAUAGCAGCACUAAACCAGGCAGAGGAUAAGAUGCUUGAAGAGGAAAGAACAGUUGGAAAAAGUCAGCUGUGGGAUGAAGAAGAAGAAAAAAUCACAGAAGAUCAGGAAAAAGAGUUGGAAAAUAUGUUGUGGAAUGAGGGAAUUCAACAAAAGCUCCAAGACUUGACACAGAAUAGAGAGGAAAAUCAGAGAGGACAAGAAGAGGCAACAUGGACUAGGGGAACUCAGCAAGAUAGAUUGGAGGACAUGGCCAAGAUGGCAAGAGACCAGCAGUUAAAUGUUGAGAAGCAACAAGAAGAUACAAAAGUGGAUGGGAACGAACAGGUAAAAACAAGUGUGACAGCAGAAAUUGAAAGAGACCAGGUGACGAUGCCAGAAGAGAAAGGAAAAGAUGAAAGAAGCUGGAAUUUGGAAGAAUGGCUGGGAGGAAUUGAAGAGGGGAAGGACAAAAAGCUGGAUGAAAAGGAAAGAGGACUAGAGGGAGUUACUUGGACAGAUAAACUUCAGUAUGAUGCACUAAAUGUUACAAUAAUGAAGACCCAGUGUUUAGAAUCUGGGGAGGAACAGGGAAAAGCCACAGAGCUGGACACAGACCACCUGAUAAUGAAGGAGAUAGCAGCAAAGAAGGAAGAAGUUCAGCAACCACCCCUGGACAAAGAGAUGGAAACAAGCCAGAAGAAGGCAUUAGAACAGGAAGAAAAGGAGAUAUAUCUGCACUGGGAGCCCAAAGAAACUGAGAUUAUGAUAGAACAUAAAAGGGAGACACCAGAAUUGGAAAAGGGGGGAAACUCUAAGCAGGGAGAUUUACCUGAGAAAGGAAAGACAGAAGAAAAUCUGAAGCAGGAAGUAGAGGAAUCUGUGAAAAAUGAGAUACACUUUAUAGGGGAAAAACAGGAACAGCAAACAAGAGAAGAAUGUCAGGAAAGUAACCAGGAAGAACAGCCUGAGAUAUUGGUAGAUACUUGUGGUCUUAGUGUAGUGCCUGAGACUACAUCAGAUCAGUCAACUCAACUGGAAGAGACCACAAAGAGCCUGGUCUAUCCAACCUCUCUUGAUACAGACCUCCUGGCUGGACCCAGAGCUUUCCCACAUGAUGUCACAACACUGGAUAACAGUGCCCAGAAGGAACGGGUGUUGCUACAUCGUAAGAGCUCCAUUCGACGAGCACCCAGCUUGAAGAAACCAAAGCCAUCAGCAGAGGCUCCAACACAAGAGACAAAUAUGGCUGAAGAUGCUCCAUCUUUAUUGGAAGUAUCAAAGAGACAAAACCCAAGAUUGUCUGGGUUUGGGUCUAUGCACCCCAAUAUGAUGGCUGAACUUCAGAUGCGCCUGCAAAAGCCAAAGUGACUUGCGGUUCUGAGAGCUUUAUCAAGUAAUGAGCUUGCAUGUUUUUGGCUCUAUCCUGGAUCAAGGCACCCUAAACCAAUAAUUUUGAAAGCAAUGGAAGCACCAUCUCUGCUCU